GACGUAUCAGAGCCUCACCGAACUCCGCCGUGAAGCAGAACAGGAGCUACUGGACACGCGUGCCAAACGCAAGAAGGUGAAGGAAGAAAUGGCAAAGAGAAGAACCUAUGCAUCGCAGAAGAGAAUGAAGAUUCUCACCCAGCUGGCCUCAGGGAAAUCUGAAAAAAGCCAAGGCGGGAAAAAGGAAGAUACGUUUGGCAUGGAUGAAUCUGAUUGGAAUGUCUACAAAGAGAUCGUAAGUAAA